rnacentral:sRNA from 1 species
AUGCCUGUGAAGCUUAGAACAUGUGUGCAUUGCAAUACGACGUUUACAAGUGCUGUUAGCCUGUCCAACCACUUACGCGCUUAUGCACGAAAGAAGAGUGCUGGACUUUUGACUGGUACAGCCUUAGAUUGUAAGCAAAAGAAAUCAAGGUCAAGAUCUGGAAGCAAGAAGAAAAUGCUAACAUUACCUCAUGGUGCUGACGAGGUUUACAUUCUCCGAUGCAGGUUUUGUGGCCUAGUCUUUCGAGGACCCUUGUCUGUUCAGGAAGACUGGAUUAAGCACUUACAACGACAUAUUGUAAACGCUAAUCUUCCACGGACUGGAGCUGGCAUGGUGGAAGUCACGUCACUACUAAAAAAGCCUGCCUCCAUUACAGAAACUUCAUUUUCUCUACUAAUGGCUGAAGCAGCUUCAUAGAACCAGGAAACCUUUUAAAUAGCCAAUUUGAAUUGGAUGUAAAUUUGAAAUUCUUUUUUUUUUAGGCCACAUUAAAUUAUCUGUUUAUAAAUACUAAAGCAGGAAAAUGGGGGGAAAGUGAAUUACAGUGACAUCAGAGCAAAUUGAAUACUUAAAACAGUAAGUAGUCUAUAUAUUUUAUAUAGGGUGGAAGAUGUGUUUUUAAGGUUUAUGAAGUUUUGUUGGUUAACUGUGUUCACUCAAUAAAAGAGCAGUACAUGUAAGCAGCCAUUAAUAAACUGUUGCACAUGGAUACUUAUAGACAGACGU